ensembl:lncRNA
CCUUGCCUUUGUAAGUUAUUUCUAACUUCUGCUGAAAAUGCUAUUAGUUGAUGAUCUUUUUUAUUUAUUAACAGCCUGGAAAAUUAAAUGUGUAAUCAAAGAAUGGAUCCUUUCCUAAAAGUGCAAGGUGGGAUGAAUUAGAUCAGUGGUACAAAAAAAAAAAAAAAAAAAAAAACGUUCUUUACUGCAGUAGGCCAUUGGAUACUCUGGGAAGAAGGGAAGAAGGGACUUAAACANNNNNNNNNNNNNNNNNNNNAAAAAAAAAAAAAAAAAAAACGUUCUUUACUGCAGUAGGCCAUUGGAUACUCUGGGAAGAAGGGAAGAAGGGACUUAAACAAAACAUUAAAUUGAAGAGGAUUCAGAGGUUCAAUCACUAACAGCCACUGCAAGACAGAGAAAUCCUCUUUAGAUAGAUAUUUUCUCUGCAUUUGUUUCCAAACUGUAAUUCUGCUCCGUGAUUAAAAAAAAAAAAAAAAAAAAAAAAAGAUUUUAUAUUUCAGUCUCUCAGGGCAGAUUCCAAAUAAUUACAUGCAAAAUGAUCUAUAAUAUAUUUAUUGCAAAUAGUAUUGCAGAACACAAAUGUGCAUUUUAUUCAGAAAGGUCAUUUUUUAAAACAUCCAUUGUAGCUGAUUCACUAACGUCCAGGGGUUUUUGCUAUACACACAGCACAGAUUUUUUUGAUUAUGUAGAUUUUUUUUUCUAUUGCAGUUUCAUAUGCAAAGCAUGCAUCAGCCACAUCCAUGCUAUCUCCUAAAGCAGUCAUUCUGAAACCCAAUCUGGGGACAGUGCAGACUAAAUAAAAUUUCAUUUUGAUUUGGCCUCCCGCUGAGAAUGGGACUGCUUUGUUUCAGCCGACAGAACCAGCAAGCCAGAAAGGUGUUGAAUACACAAAUACUGACUUAAUGGACAAUUAUGGUCAUUGUGGUAGAGGAAAUAUUUUUAUCUGGGCGUCAGGAAAUGGUGGUCUGGCUAGUGACUGCAGUGGUGUGGAUGGUUACAUGAACAGCAUUUACUCAGGGGCAAAGCAUGCCAUCGUUUACCUCUGCUCCAGAAGUCCUGGACUACAAGAACAAAUCAACAUCAAUGCCACCUGGAAAUAUCCAUUGAGGAAGGAUUGUGGAGUCUAGUACCCUGAAACAACCCUUCAACCUGAAGCAAGGUUGCCACAGAACUUUAGAGGUGGAAGUAUUUGAGAAUUCAAAGACAUCCUGCACAAAUCCUUUCAAAUGCUGUUGUUGUUUUGAUUCUUCAGCCCAAGUAAGGAUGAUACAUGUCUUGCUUUCAGUUCACAUGACAAAGAUAUGACAUUGUUGUCACUGAUCCUUAAGAAAACUAUAUGAGUCAAAUUACAGUAGAGACAAAAGUUGGAACAAAGCCCUCUUUCUUGUUGAAACAGUUUGCUGUUUUACUGUCUUUUGCUCAGCUGGUGGUACUGUAUGUAGUCUACAAGUAGAUUAAAUACAUUUUAGGUGCAUGAAAGAAAAGUUACUAUUUAAAAACAUAAGAUUCCUUUAGGAAAAUAAUUGGAGGCAGUAAUAGUCAUUAACUCUGAAAUACAUUAUUCUUCCCACAGUUCCUCAUAUAAAGCAAACUCUGUUGCAUGCCACAGUAUUAAACAAUAUAUGAGUUAAAUAUCUUCUUCAAAGAUGCAUGGCCUAAAACAUGAAAAAUUAGAGUAUAUGCAAAUCAUCAUAAAGGACUGACUUUACUGACCAUUUCUUUGUGUUUGGGGGAUAGAUUUCUGCAUGGCAUAAUAUUUCCACUUGCAUUGGUUUCCUGGCAUGAAAAUGUUUAUUGCACUCAUUAGCUAAGAGGAUGUCGGCACUGGUCCAAUGAACACAGAUCUGCCUUCUGAUUUCAGCCAUUAAAUUGCAAUGGGAUUCAUAGGCUUAACAUUGUGGGUGUGAGAAUAAUAAAAUGGAACUCCAUCUUUAGCCCA